ensembl:lncRNA
CAGUUGACCUGGGUAAACUCAACACUGAGAAAUACAGUAACAGUUGACCUGGGUAAACUCAACACUGAGAAAUACAGUAACAGUUGACCUGGAUAAACUCAACACUGAGAAAUACAGUAACAGUUGACCUGGGUAAACUCAACACUGAGAAAUACAGUAACAGUUGACCUGGAUAAACUCAACACUGAGAAAUACAGUAACAGUUGAUUGUCUUGAUCAAGGGUGCAUAAACUCAGGCCCUCGACGUCCACAGUCCUGCUAGGUUAGUGUUUCUCCCUGGUUCUUAUGAUCAACUAAUGAUUGGCUGACGUGUGCACACACCUCGUUUCCCAGCGACAAAUCAAUCUCUGGUAACAAGGCAAGGAUGAAAAAACUGUCCUUUUCACACUACAGAGUCGAUCUAAGCCAAGCUGAACUGGCCUGCAAAGGACAAGGUGAUAAGAAUGGUUAGAUGGUUAGGAUCAGAACAACAGUGUGACUAGGUUAAAGGAGUAGAACCAGAACAGUAUGGUUAUGAUCAGAAUGGCAGUGUGAUUAGGUUAAAGGAGUAGAACCAGACCAGUAUGGUUAGGAUCAGAACGACAGUGUGACUAGGUUAAAGGAGUAGAACCAGAACAGUAUGGUUAUGAUCAGAAUGGCAGUGUGAUUAGGUUAAAGGAGUAGAACCAGACCAGUAUGGUUAGGAUCAGAACGACAGUGUGACUAGGUUAAAGGAGUAGAACCAGAACAGUAUGGUUAGGAUCAGAACGACAGUGUGAUUAGGUUAAAGGAGUAGAACCAGAACAGUAUGGUUAGGAUCAGAACGACAGUGUGAUUAGGUUAAAGGAGUAGAACCAGAACAGUAUGGUUAGGAUCAGAACGAGUGUGAUUAGGUUAAAGGAGUAGAACCAGACCAGUAUGGUUAGGAUCAGAACGACAGUGUGACUAGGUUAAAGGAGUAGAACCAGAACAGUAUGGUUAGGAUCAGAACGAGUGUGAUUAGGUUAAAGGAGUAGAACCAGAACAGUAUGGUUAUGAUCAAAUUCAGCUCCUUACGUUCUUGAACUAAGUUUAGCACCCUAAUAAAAAAACUACAUAUCAGAAUAUAUCAAAUAUAUAUUUUGUGUCUCUCUGGAUCAGAGCCUCUACUUGUCUUACAAGAGUAUUACUAUGCAAUAUACAAGCUGGACUUUAAAGUCUUUCGCUUCCCUCAAUACUCCUCACCUUCAGAAGUGUCUUUGGAGCAGAAUCAAGUCAAACUACAAGAAACCCAAGAAUUACAAGUCAUACUUAUAAUUGACCUGUAAGCAGCUAGUUGAAACUGUCAUCACAGUUCAAGGAACAGGAUCCUGGGUGUGUUAAUACAGCACUUGAACCAUAAGGCACUUCUUACAGUACUUAUCAGUAUAAUGAUAGGUCACCUAUAAUAAGGCACUUCUUACAGUACUUAUCAGUAUAAUGAUAGGUCACCU